rnacentral:rRNA from 1 species
UCGGGAAUUUUGGGCAAUGGGCGAAAGCCUGACCCAGCAACGCCGCGUGAAGGAUGAAGUUUUUCGGAAUGUAAACUUCGUAAAAAUAGGAAGAAUAAAUGACGGUACUAUUUGUAAGGUCCGGCUAACUACGUGCCAGCAGCCGCGGUAAUACGUAGGGACCAAGCGUUGUUCGGAUUUACUGGGCGUAAAGGGCGCGUAGGCGGCAAUUCAAGUCAUCUGUGAAAUCUCCGGGCUUAACUCGGAACGGUCAGAUGAUACUGCUUUGCUAGAGUGCAGAAGGGGCAAUCGGAAUUCUUGGUGUAGCGGUGAAAUGCGUAGAUAUCAAGAGGAACACCUGAGGUGAAGACGGGUUGCUGGGCUGACACCGACGCUGAGGCGCGAAAGCCAGGGGAGCAAACGGGAUUAGAUACCCCUGUAGUCCCUGAGCGGGCUGGCAAGGCGCAU